rnacentral:rRNA from 1 species
GACGAACGCUGGCGGCAUGCCUAAUACAUGCAAGUAGGACGCAGUUGCGAACGGGUGAGUAACGCGUAGGUAACUACCUAUUAGAGGGGGAUAACUAUUGGAAACGAUAGCUAAUACCGCAUACUAGUAGAUGGACCUGCGUUGUAUUAGGUAGUAGGUAGGGUAAUGGCCUACCUAGGCAACGAAACAAAGCCUACCUGAGAGGGUGAUCGCCCACACGAGGACUGAGACACGUCCCAGACUCCUACGGUAGGCAGCAGUAGGGAGUCUUCCGCACUGGGGGGAACCCUGACCGAGCAACGCCGCGUGAGUGAAGAGGGUUUUCGGAUCGUAAAUCUCUGUUGUUAAGGAAGCGGUACUUACCCAGAAAGGGACGGCUAACUACGUGCCAGCAGCCGCGGUAAUAC